rnacentral:lncRNA from 1 species
GAGUUAGAUAUUGUCUCCUCUGACCUGAAAGCCACCUGGGCAGCAUUAUGACUUCUGACCUCCUCUUUUGGAGUAAAGAGAUCAUGGAAGUUCUCUACACUCUCCAGGGACUAGUGGGACCCAAGGAAGGCACCACCAUUCUCUGUGAAUGGAUCUCUGGAAGGCUCCUUAUUUGACUUUAGGAAAUGAAAUUCCCGUGUGAAAGACAGCCUCCCUCUACCAGAAGGAAAGCAUCAUUCUUAUCAUCAAGGACGGGAAGCUGAGACCGAGGAAAAUCUGUACAAACAAACCUUGUUAAGCUAACCCUUAUCUUCCUCGUUACUUCUCUGCCCAAUUACCUACUCUGCCCAAGCUCCUCUGCCUUGUCACAGUUUCACAAUUUACUACUCUUUCG